GGGAUGGAGCGCGGCCGGUUACCGACCCCGGCCCGUCUCGGCCCGCCGCCCGCCCACGUCUCUGCCGCCGGGGCCCGGGCGGCGGCCCGAGCCCCGAGUGCCGGCUCCCCUCCCCCGCGGCCCCUCACUGACCUCUGACCUCAGCACUGGAUUUGACUGCCACCAAAGCCCCCGGCCCUACACUGACUUGCCUAUCCAGCCCAGCCGGGCUGAGCCAGACCCUGUGGCCUCCUGAAUGUCUUGAAGGUGCAGCUGGCCCUCUGUCACCUGCCCCCUCCUGCCUCAGCCCUAACCAGCUGCCCGCUGGUGGUGACGGGUGGUGUCAGUCGCUGGCCCCACCCGGUGCCCCCCCACCCCUGUGCCACGGCCGGCUGGGGUUCCUGGGGAUGGGAUUUGCUGACUGUCUCAAAUCACAUUGCCAGGGAUUUCCAACCGACCCUGAGCCCUGCCUCUGGGGCUGCCACCGCCGCCGCCACCGCUGAGGACCCUGCCCGGGGACGGGACUGGGGCUGGGUGGCAGAGAGGCUCCUGCUGUCCGUGUCUGGCCUGGGGAGCAGGGCUUAGCUGCUUGUGAGCAGAGUCCACAGCAAGUCGUGUUCACAGUGGCUAAGUUCCGCCCCCCGGGACCCCGCCUCCUCUGUCUCUGUCUCUGCCUCUGCGCCUGCCUGUCCCGCUGGCUGUCGGGGCCUCCCUGGGCUCUGCCUCCCGUGCCUACUGAGCUGAAACACAGUUGAUUUGUGCAGACUGGCUCAGUUCAGCAGGAACAGGAGUCAAGCCCCCUUGGAGUCUGUGGCGCCUGCCUUCCUCGGGUGGACUGAUGCCUGUGUGUGGUGGGGGUGGAGACCCAGACCUAUGUCUGGGGGAGGGACUGGAGGAGGGAGGUAGCCUGGAAUGGGCUAGGUGGACCCAGCUGUCUGUUGGCCCCCUCCCCCAGCUCUAUGCUUGGGGAGGGCCUCCCCCCUGCAUAAUCAUACCUACAGCUGGGCUGCACUCCUGGGGAGGUUGGCCCUUCCACGAAUAAAGGAAAAGCUGUGUCUGCACCCCCCACACACAACACUCCCAGCCUGGAGCCUUUCUCUCCCAAGCCUGGUGGGGCAUGGGCCAGGCCUGUACCUUCCCAGCAGCCAGUUGUUACUCAAGAGGAAGCUGUCUUGGGCCCCCAGACCGUUAAAUGCCAACUCCAGCUUCCGGAACCAGGCUGGCCUGACCUGAGUGUGCCUGGCCCCUUCUCACAGAACCCUGCAGCUUCCAAACUUGGAGGGAGGAGCCGUGACACCCUCCUGGCACGAGGGGAGGGGAGGGGAGGGGAGGGGAGCAAGGUGCCUGUGAACCCAGAAAGGACAUAACCGGGACUUUUCAGUCCUCCGGUGGUGCCAGGGUGUCUAAGAGUGGAGGAGACUGUCCAGAAUCAGAUGGGAUGGGGCUCUUUUUGGAGUGAGACUGGGGAACCAGAGAGAAGCCCCCUAAGGUGUCAGGCCUGGCCCGGGGUUCUUGUCCCACCCAGGGUAGGGGCAGGGUCUGUGUUGUGUGUGGUUCCUGUUGUCCAACUAAAUAAAAGCUGCCCCCUGCCUCA